GCCUGCGGCGUAUCAGGUUGUAGGGGGUGUAAAGUACCCUCUAGCCAUCUACGCGUACGGGUGUUGGGAGACAUAGCCCGGAGAUGGAUUCUGAGACACGAAUCCAGACCCUACGGGGUGCAGCAGGCGCGAAAACUUGACAAUGCGAGCAAUCGUGAUCAGGGAACUCCAAGUGGCUGGGGUAAGACCCAGUCUUUUCAUAACUCUUCAAAGGUUGUAGAAUAAGGGGUGGGUAAGGACGGUGCCAGCCGCCGCGGUAAUACCGGCGCCUCAAGUGGUAGUCGCUUUUAUUGGGCCUAAAACGUCCGUAGCCGGUUUGGUACAUUCGUGGGUAAAUCAACUCGCUCAACGAGUUGAAUUCUGCGAGGACGGCCAAACUUGGGACCGGGAGAGGUGUGGGGUACUCUCAGGGUAGGGGUAAAAUCCUGUCAUCCUGAGAGGACCACCUGUUGCGAAGGCGCCACACUAGAACGGAUCCGACGGUCAGGGACGAAGCCUAGGGGCACGAACCGGAUUAGAUACCCGGGUAGUCCUAGGUGUAAACGCUGUGGACUUGAUGUUGGAGAAGCUCCGAGCUUCUUCAGUGUCGAAGCGAAGGUGAUAAGUCCACUGCCUGGGAAGUACGGUCGCAAGGCUGAAACUUAAAGGAAUUGGCGGGGGAGCACCGCAACCUGAGGAUUGUGCGGUUUAAUUGGACUCAACGCCGGGA
rnacentral:rRNA from 1 species